GCUAUACAUGCAAGUCGAGCGGACAGAAGGGAGCUUGCUCCCGGAUGUUAGCGGCGGACGGGUGAGUAACACGUGGGUAACCUGCCUGUAAGACUGGGAUAACUCCGGGAAACCGGAGCUAAUACCGGAUAGUUCCUUGAACCGCAUGGUUCAAGGAUGAAAGACGGUUUCGGCUGUCACUUACAGAUGGACCCGCGGCGCAUUAGCUAGUUGGUGAGGUAACGGCUCACCAAGGCGACGAUGCGUAGCCGACCUGAGAGGGUGAUCGGCCACACUGGGACUGAGACACGGCCCAGACUCCUACGGGAGGCAGCAGUAGGGAAUCUUCCGCAAUGGACGAAAGUCUGACGGAGCAACGCCGCGUGAGUGAUGAAGGUUUUCGGAUCGUAAAGCUCUGUUGUUAGGGAAGAACAAGUGCAAGAGUAACUGCUUGCACCUUGACGGUACCUAACCAGAAAGCCACGGCUAACUACGUGCCAGCAGCCGCGGUAAUACGUAGGUGGCAAGCGUUGUCCGGAAUUAUUGGGCGUAAAGGGCUCGCAGGCGGUUUCUUAAGUCUGAUGUGAAAGCCCCCGGCUCAACCGGGGAGGGUCAUUGGAAACUGGGAAACUUGAGUGCAGAAGAGGAGAGUGGAAUUCCACGUGUAGCGGUGAAAUGCGUAGAGAUGUGGAGGAACACCAGUGGCGAAGGCGACUCUCUGGUCUGUAACUGACGCUGAG
rnacentral:rRNA from 1 species